GACGGAGGAUGCAAGUGUUAUCCGGAAUCACUGGGCGUAAAGCGUCUGUAGGUGGUCAAAUAAGUCAACUGUUAAAUCUUGAGGCUCAACCUCAAAAUCGCAGUCGAAACUAUUAGACUAGAGUAUAGUAGGGGUAAAGGGAAUUUCCAGUGGAGCGGUGAAAUGCGUAGAGAUUGGAAAGAACACCGAUGGCGAAGGCACUUUACUGGGCUAUUACUAACACUCAGAGACGAGAGCUAGGGUAGCAAAUGGG
rnacentral:rRNA from 1 species